ACUCCUACGGGAGGCAGCAGUGGGGAAUAUUGGACAAUGGGCGCAAGCCUGAUCCAGCCAUGCCGCGUGUGUGAAGAAGGCCCUCGGGUUGUAAAGCACUUUCAGUGAGGAAGAAAGCUUGUCGGUUAAUACCCGGCAAGGACGACAUCACUCACAGAAGAAGCACCGGCUAACUCCGUGCCAGCAGCCGCGGUAAUACGGAGGGUGCGAGCGUUAAUCGGAAUUACUGGGCGUAAAGCGUGCGUAGGCGGCUUGGUAAGCCGGUUGUGAAAGCCCCGGGCUCAACCUGGGAACGGCAUUACCGGAACUGUCAGGCUAGAGUGCAGGGAGAGAAGGUAG
rnacentral:rRNA from 1 species